rnacentral:ncRNA from 1 species
AAACAUGAGAGUUUGAUCCUGGCUCAGGAUGAACGCUGGCGGCGUGCCUAACACAUGCAAGUCGAGCGAAGCUGUUUCAAGGAAGUUUUCGGAUGGAAUUGAAAUAGACUGAGCGGCGGACGGGUGAGUAACGCGUGGGUAACCUGCCUCAUACAGGGGGAUAACAGUUAGAAAUGACUGCUAAUACCGCAUAAGCGCACAGGACCGCAUGGUCAAGUGUGA